UCACUAGUAUUUUUUUGAGCAUUUUUACAUCUAUAUUCAUAAGGGAUUUUGGCCUGUAUACACACACACACACACACACGCAUAUAUAUGUGUGUGUGUAUGUGUAUAUAUAUACA
rnacentral:miRNA from 1 species